AACCUUUACACUGCACGACAGUGCGAUAGGGGGACACCGAGUGCGAGGGCAUAGAGCCCUCGCUUUUGUAGACCGUAAGGAGGUCUACGAAUAAGGGCUGGGCAAGACCGGUGCCAGCCGCCGCGGUAACACCGGCAGCCCAAGUGAUGGCCGAUAUUAUUGGGCCUAAGGCGUCCGUAGCUGGCCACACAAGUCCGUCGGGAAAUCCACUCGCUUAACGAGUGGGCGUCCGGCGGAAACUGUGCGGCUUGGGACCGGAAGAUCCGAGGGGUACGUCUGGGGUAGGAGUGAAAUCCCGUAAUCCUGGACGGACCACCGAUGGCGAAAGCACCUCGGAAGGACGGAUCCGACAGUGAGGGACGAAAGCUAGGGUCUCGAACCGGAUUAGAUACCCGGGUAGUCCUAGCCGUAAACGAUGCUCGCUAGGUGUGGCGCAGGCUACGAGCCUGCGCUGUGCCGUAGGGAAGCCGUGAAGCGAGCCGCCUGGGAAGUACGUCUGCAAGGAUGAAACUUAA
rnacentral:rRNA from 1 species